UGGGGAAUAUUGGACAAUGGAGGCAACUUUGAUCCGGCAAUUCUGUGUGUGUGAAGAAGGUUUUAGGACUGUAAAACACUUUUAGUAGGGAAGAAAGAAAUGACGGUACCUACAGAAGAAGCGACGGCUAAAUACGUGCCAGCAGCCGCGGUAAUACGUAUGUCGCGAGCGUUAUCCGGAAUUAUUGGGCUUAAAGGGCAUCUAGCCGGUUAAACAAGUUGAAGGUGAAAACCUGUGGCUCAAACAUAGGCUUGCCUACAAAACUGUAUAACUAGAGUACUGGAAAGGUGGGUGGAACUACACGAGUAGAGGUGAGAUUCGUAGAUAUGUGUAGGAAUGCCGAUGAUGAAGAUAACUCACUGGACAGCAACUGACGCUGAAGUGCGAAAGCUAGGGGAGCAAACAGG
rnacentral:rRNA from 1 species